UAGAGUUUGAUCCUGGCUCAGAUUGAACGCUGGCGGCAUGCCUUACACAUGCAAGUCGAACGCGAAAGCGGGGCAACCCGCAAGUAGAGUGGCGAACGGGUGAGUAAUACAUCGGAACAUAUCCAGUAGCGGGGGAUAACCUGUCGAAAGAUAGGCUAAUACCGCAUACGAUCUACGGAUGAAAGCAGGGGACCGCAAGGCCUUGCACUAUUGGAGUGGCCGAUGUCAGAUUAGCUAGUUGGUGGGGUAAAAGCCUACCAAGGCGACGAUCUGUAGCUGGUCUGAGAGGACGAUCAGCCACACUGGAACUGAGACACGGUCCAGACUCCUACGGGAGGCAGCAGUGGGGAAUUUUGGACAAUGGGCGCAAGCCUGAUCCAGCCAUGCCGCGUGAGUGAAGAAGGCCUUCGGGUUGUAAAGCUCUUUCGGUGAAGACGAAACGGUUAGCGCUAAUAACGCUGACUAAUGACGGUACUCACAGAAGAAGCACCGGCUAACUACGUGCCAGCAGCCGCGGUAAUACGUAGGGUGCAGGCGUUAAUCGGAAUUACUGGGCGUAAAGCGUGCGCAGGCGGUUUGUUAAGGCAGGUGUGAAAUCCCCGGGCUUAACCUGGGAAUUGCGCUUGCAACUGGCAAGCUAGAGUGUGGCAGAGGGGGGUGGAAUUCCACGUGUAGCAGUGAAAUGCGUAGAUAUGUGGAGGAACACCGAUGGCGAAGGCAGCCCCCUGGGUUAACACUGACGCUCAUGCACGAAAGCGUGGGGAGCAAACAGGAUUAGAUACCCUGGUAGUCCACGCCCUAAACUAUGUCAACUGGUUGUCGGGGAAGAAAUUCCUUGGUAACGAAGCUAACGCGUGAAGUUGACCGCCUGGGGAGUACGGCCGCAAGGUUAAAACUCAAAGGAAUUGACGGGGACCCGCACAAGCGGCGGAUUAUGUGGAUUAAUUCGAUGCAACGCGAAAAACCUUACCUACCCUUGACAUGCUAGGAAGUCCGCAGAGAUGUGGAUGUGCCCGAAAGGGAACCUGGACACAGGUGCUGCAUGGCUGUCGUCAGCUCGUGUCGUGAGAUGUUGGGUUAAGUCCCGCAACGAGCGCAACCCUUGCCAUUAGUUGCUACAUUCAGUUGAGCACUCUAAUGGGACCGCCGGUGACAAACCGGAGGAAGGUGGGGAUGACGUCAAGUCCUCAUGGCCCUUAUGGGUAGGGCUUCACACGUAAUACAAUGGUCGGUACAGAGGGUUGCCAACCCGCGAGGGGGAGCUAAUCCCAGAAAGCCGAUCGUAGUCCGGAUUGUAGUCUGCAACUCGACUGCAUGAAGCCGGAAUCGCUAGUAAUCGCGGAUCAUCAUGUCGCGGUGAAUACGUUCCCGGGUCUUGUACACACCGCCCGUCACACCAUGGGAGUGGGUUCCACCAGAAGUAGUUAGCCUAACCGCAAGGGGGGCGAUUACCACGGUGAGAUUCAUGACUGGGGGAAGUCGAACAAGGAACCAAGGCGAUCGCGCGAUCGG
rnacentral:rRNA from 1 species